rnacentral:tRNA from 2 species
AAGUCCAGGAUCUGUAACGACCUUAUUCGAAUUUGCACUUCGGGCUUUCUGGACU